GUCUUCUUGUUUUCUGUUGGAAGUCUGGCCUGCCCGGUGAGGUUUUUAACGGCCGCGGUAUUUUGACCGUGCAAAGGUAGCAUAAUCAUUAGUUCUUUAAUAGGGAACUGGUAUGAAGGGUUUGACGAGGGGUUUACUGUCUCAGUCUUAAUUGUUUGAAUUUGACUUUUUGGUUAAAAGGCUUUAAAAUACUGUUGGUAGACGAGAAGACCCUAUAGAGUUUUACAUGCAUUUUUAUUUAAUUAUUUUGUUUCAUUUUUGUCUUUAUUUUGUUGUUUGUUUUGUUGGGGUGAUGUUUAAAUAAGGUUAACUUUUAUUAUAUUUUUUAUCAUUGAUUUAUGUUUUUUUGAUCCGUUCGUUGGCGAUUAUUAGACUAAGUUACCUUAGGGAUAACAGCGUAAUCCCCUUUUGGAGUUCUUAUUUACAGGGGGGCUUGCGACCUCGAUGUUGGAUUAAGAUUAUUAUUGGACGCAGUUGUUCAGUUAAUAGGUCUGUUCGACCUUUAAUUUCUUACAUGAUCUGAGUUCAGACCGG
rnacentral:rRNA from 1 species